GCCAACCGACGGCUCGCGCUUCUUCCCAGGGCCGUCCCAGAAUGCAACGGAACAUGGCCAGGCCUUACCAGCGGGAAUUACUUUAGACAGGUUCUUUUGAAGCACUUCCUGCUCCAAUGAAGUGGAGGAAAGACUGGAUAGGCUCUUUGCUUUGAUGAAGAGAUGCUUUAUAGAAAGACCAAGUGGAUACCAAUAAACACACUGUAGGAGAUCUCAACAAUCUUCUGUAAGCUGAACAUGCGAGGGUGGUGAGGGGAAGCCAGCUCAUCCAUGGAAACAGCGCACAGCCAUCGAACGAAGUCAACUAAAUGUUUUAAGAGAUGAGAUGUAAAAGUAGUGUUUUCUUUACAAGCCAGCCAGCAACUGGAAGAGUAUUUUCAGCCUAGAAUCCCACCUGUAACAUCAACUUGAUAAUAGGUA